rnacentral:rRNA from 1 species
AGUGAACGCUGGCGGCGUGCCUAAUACAUGCAAGUCGAACGAUGAAGUCCUAGCUUGCUAGGAUGGAUUAGUGGCGCACGGGUGAGUAAUAUAUAGUUAAUCUGCCCUACACAGAGGAACAACAGUUGGAAACGACUGCUACUACCUCAUACUCCUAUUUGACAUAAGUUAAAUAGGGAAAGUCUUUUCGGUGUAGGAUGAGACUAUAUCGUAUCAGCUAGGUGAUAAGGUAAUGGCUUACCAAGGCUAUGACGCGUAACUGGUCUGAGAGGAUGAUGAGUAGAAUCGGAAGGGAGGCACGGGCGAGGAACCUACGGGAAGGAGCGGUAACGUAAUUUAGGCAAUGGGGGUGACUGUGGCGGGGCAACGGCGCGUAGAGGACUAUACUUUGGGGAGAAUAAAAGCAUUUUAACAGGAAAGUAUAAUGACGGUACCUGAUGAAUAAGCACCGGCUAACUCCGUG